GACGAACGCUGGCGGCGUGCUUAACACAUGCAAGUCGAACGGCAAGGCCCUGCUUUUGUGGGGUGCUCGAGUGGCGAACGGGUGAGUAACACGUGAGUAACCUGCCCUUGACUUUGGGAUAACUUCAGGAAACUGGGGCUAAUACCGUAUAGGAGCUCCUGCUGCAUGGUGGGGGUUGGAAAGUUUCGGCGGUUGGGGAUGGACUCGCGGCUUAUCAGCUUGUUGGUGGGGUAGUGGCUUACCAAGGCUUUGACGGGUAGCCGGCCUGGGAGGGGGACCGGCCACAUGGGUACUGAGGUACGGCCCAGACUUCAACGGGAGGCAGCAGUGGGGAAUAUUGCACAAUGGGCCCAAGCCUGAUGCAGCGACGCCGCGUUCGUGAUGACGUCCUUCGGGUUGUAAACCGCUUUCGCCUGUUACGAAGCUGUAGUGACGGUAAUGGGUAAAUAAGCACCGGCUAACUACGUG
rnacentral:rRNA from 1 species